AUUCACCACAAAACAGAACUCUCU
rnacentral:snRNA from 1 species